GGUACAUGGGCGCAGCUGAUGCAGCCAUGCCGCGUGAGUGAGAAGGCCUUCGGGUUGUAAAGCUCUUUUUUUGGGACGAACGGCUGGCGGUUCAUAACUUGUUGUCCUGACCUUACCAACAGACAACGCCCACGGUAAUACCCUGCCCCCCGGCCCUAUAAUUAAGGAUCAUGCGGGACCAGGCAGAUGGCGGUCGUCAGACGCGACUGACACGGAAUCGCGCCGGGUGAGGGGGGGGGGGGUCGCUGUCAAUGUGGGGUUCGUUCGGUUGGGCGCG
rnacentral:rRNA from 1 species